rnacentral:rRNA from 1 species
CCUACGGGAGGCAGCAGUAAGGAAUAUUGGUCAAUGGGCGCAAGCCUGAACCAGCCAUGCCGCGUGCAGGAAGACGGCCCUAUGGGUUGUAAACUGCUUUUGAACAAGAGAAAACCUCGGUACGUGUACCGAGCUGAUAGUAUUGUUAGAAUAAGCAUCGGCUAACUUCGUGCCAGCAGCCGCGGUAAGACGAAGGAUGCAAGCGUUAUCCGGAUUCAUUGGGUUUAAAGGGUGCGUAGGCGGCCUGAUAAGUCAGUGGUGAAAUCUCUCAGCUUAACUGAGAAACUGCCAUUGAUACUGUCGGGCUUGAGUACAGAUGAUGUGGGCGGAAUAUGACAUGUAGUGGUGAAAUACUUAGAUAUGUCAUAGAACACCGAUUGCGAAGGCAGCUCACAAAACUGUAACUGACGCUGAGGCACGAAAGCGCGGGGAUCAAACAGGAUUAGAUACCCUGGUAGUCCGCACCGUAAACGAUGAUUACUCGUUGUUGGCAAUAUGACCGUCAGCGACCAAGCGAAAGCGAUAAGAAUCCACCUGGGGAGUACGCCGGCAACGGUUGAAACUCAAGGAAUUGACGGCGNGAGAGNGCGACGGACGACGACGAGGGAGGAGG